UCGGUGGAAGUAUAUUUGAGGAUGAUGUGGUCGAAUUUGGGAUUAAUUGGAGGAAGUUUGGCGCAUAAAAUGAUGAGAUAACCGUGUAUUUAGGGGUCAAAACAAGGCUUUGAACCCAACCGUAAGAACCAGGGGCCUAUUUGUGAAGAUUUCUAGGUGGUGGAGGGACAUAUCCACGAGAAUUUCUUGAGAGUGGUGGGAGGACUGGCUGGUGAAU
rnacentral:lncRNA from 1 species